UACGUAGGGAGCAAACGUUGUCCGGAAUCAUUGGGCGUAAAGCGCGCGUAGGCGGCCUUGUAAGUCCGUUGUGAAAGUCAAAGGCUCAACCUUUGAAAGCCGAUGGAUACUGCAAGGCUGGAGUCCGGAAGAGGCGAGUGGAAUUCCUGGUGUAGCGGUGGAAUGCGCAGAUAUCAGGAGGAACACCAAUAGCGAAGGCAGCUCGCUGGGACGGUACUGACGCUAAGGCGCGAAAGCGUGGGGAGCGAACAGGA
rnacentral:rRNA from 1 species